rnacentral:rRNA from 1 species
AGUGAACGCUGGCGGUAGGCCUAACACAUGCAAGUCGAACGGCAGCACAGUAAGAGCUUGCUCUUACGGGUGGCGAGUGGCGGACGGGUGAGGAAUACAUCGGAAUCUACUUUUUCGUGGGGGAUAACGUAGGGAAACUUACGCUAAUACCGCAUACGACCUCCGGGUGAAAGCAGGGGAUCUUCAGACCUUGCGCGAUUGAAUGAGCCGAUGUCGGAUUAGCUAGUUGGCGGGGUAAAGGCCCAACCAGGCGCCGAUCCGUAGCUGGUCUGAGAGGACGAUCAGCCACACUGGAAGUGAGACACGGUCCAGACUCCUACGGGGGGCAGCAGUGGGGAAUAUUGCACGAUGGGCGCAAGCCUGAUCCAGCCAUACCGCGUGGGUGAAGAAGGCCUUCGGGUUGUAAAGCCCUUUUGUUGGGAAAGAAAAGCAGCAGGUUAAUACCCCGCUGUUCUGACGGUACCCAAAGAAUAAGCACCGGCUAACUUCGUG